GCACAACUUUCUGAGCAGCCAUACAAAACGCGUUCACCGUUAGCGCCCUCCUGCACGUCUGCUGUAUACUUUUAGUUUUCAUCAUGAAUUUUCGAAAAGUUUGACGCGCGCUUCGCUAAAAUUGCAGCAGCCGAAGCAACAGAAGGAGCGGAAAAGUUCUUAUCUACCGUUGCCGUUGCCGUCGCAGUCGCAGUCGCAGUCGAAGUCGCCGUCUUACUUAUCUUGGCAUAAAAUUUGUUUCCACAAGGCAGUCAGAGUCGGGUGACGGCAGCCAGUACCAUUUUAAUAUGUCCCUAGCCGCGCGAAAUUGCUGAAGACAUGUUUGUUUUUAAACAGAUUACAUUAUUUUAUGAACGUAUUUCUCCGCCUUUGCUGCUGCUGCUGUAGCUGCUACUGCCGUUGAUAAUAUGCAAAAACUUGGCAAACAAUAACACGCACCCAGAAAAGCGCCAAAUGCUACUAAAAAGUUACACACAUACACACGCAACACACACACAUGAAUGCACACAUACAUCACACAUGCUCAGAAAAGCUCUCAGCUUGUGCAAACAUUGCCUGGGAAUAUUGCCAUAAGUUUCAUCGACAAAUUAAUGAUGAGUAACCAUAAACAUGCAUUACAUAACAAAACAAAACGGGAACAUUUUAGCGGUGGUUUGGUGUGCUUUGUUUUGCCGCGGAUUCUAUUGCCGUCUACUACCCUCUCUCUCUCUGUCUUGUGCUAACUGUAAAGUUUACAUCACAUACGACGCGCGUAAGCUUUGACUUGCACUUGAAAGCUGAAGAAUAGCGUGAAUGGCAGGCGACAAGUGUGUCAAUAUCAGUUUGAAUUUAUGCUCGGAGAACUCUUAAUAAUAUUGUGUUUGUG